GCCCAAGAGAUCGGGAUAGCACCUGGAAACAGAUGCUAAUACCGGAUAACAACUAGAUGAUGCCUAUCAACUGUUUAAAAGAUGGUUCUGCUAUCACUCUUGGAUGGACCUGCGGUGCAUUAGCUAGUUGGUAGGGUAACGGCCUACCAAGGCGAUGAUGCAUAGCCGAGUUGAGAGACUGAUCGGCCACAUUGGGACUGAGACACGGCCCAAACUCCUACGGGAGGCAGCAGGU
rnacentral:rRNA from 1 species